rnacentral:rRNA from 1 species
UUAAGCGACUAAGCGUACACGGUGGAUGCCCUGGCAGUCAGAGGCGAUGAAGGACGUGCUAAUCUGCGAUAAGCGUCGGUAAGGUGAUAUGAACCGUUAUAACCGGCGAUUUCCGAAUGGGGAAACCCAGUGUGAUUCGUCACACUAUCAUUAACUGAAUCCAUAGGUUAAUGAGGCGAACCGGGGGAACUGAAACAUCUAAGUACCCCGAGGAAAAGAAAUCAACCGAGAUUCCCCCAGUAGCGGCGAGCGAACGGGGAGCAGCCCAGAGCCUGAAUCAGUGUGUGUGUUAGUGGAAGCGUCUGGAAAGGCGCGCGAUACAGGGUGACAGCCCCGUACACAAAAAUGCACAUGCUGUGAGCUCGAUGAGUAGGGCGGGACACGUGGUAUCCUGUCUGAAUAUGGGGGGACCAUCCUCCAAGGCUAAAUACUCCUGACUGACCGAUAGUGAACCAGUACCGUGAGGGAAAGGCGAAAAGAACCCCGGCGAGGGGAGUGAAAAAGAACCUGAAACCGUGUACGUACAAGCAGUGGGAGCACGCUUAGGCGUGUGACUGCGUACCUUUUGUAUAAUGGGUCAGCGACUUAUAUUCUGUAGCAAGGUUAACCGAAUAGGGGAGCCGAAGGGAAACCGAGUCUUAACUGGGCGUUAAGUUGCAGGGUAUAGACCCGAAACCCGGUGAUCUAGCCAUGGGCAGGUUGAAGGUUGGGUAACACUAACUGGAGGACCGAACCGACUAAUGUUGAAAAAUUAGCGGAUGACUUGUGGCUGGGGGUGAAAGGCCAAUCAAACCGGGAGAUAGCUGGUUCUCCCCGAAAGCUAUUUAGGUAGCGCCUCGUGAAUUCAUCUCCGGGGGUAGAGCACUGUUUCGGCAAGGGGGUCAUCCCGACUUACCAACCCGAUGCAAACUGCGAAUACCGGAGAAUGUUAUCACGGGAGACACACGGCGGGUGCUAACGUCCGUCGUGAAGAGGGAAACAACCCAGACCGCCAGCUAAGGUCCCAAAGUCAUGGUUAAGUGGGAAACGAUGUGGGAAGGCCCAGACAGCCAGGAUGUUGGCUUAGAAGCAGCCAUCAUUUAAAGAAAGCGUAAUAGCUCACUGGUCGAGUCGGCCUGCGCGGAAGAUGUAACGGGGCUAAACCAUGCACCGAAGCUGCGGCAGCGACGCUGAUGCGUUGUUGGGUAGGGGAGCGUUCUGUAAGCCUGUGAAGGUGUACUGUGAGGUAUGCUGGAGGUAUCAGAAGUGCGAAUGCUGACAUAAGUAACGAUAAAGCGGGUGAAAAGCCCGCUCGCCGGAAGACCAAGGGUUCCUGUCCAACGUUAAUCGGGGCAGGGUGAGUCGACCCCUAAGGCGAGGCCGAAAGGCGUAGUCGAUGGGAAACAGGUUAAUAUUCCUGUACUUGGUGUUACUGCGAAGGGGGGACGGAGAAGGCUAUGUUGGCCGGGCGACGGUUGUCCCGGUUUAAGCGUGUAGGCUGGUUUUCCAGGCAAAUCCGGAAAAUCAAGGCUGAGGCGUGAUGACGAGGCACUACGGUGCUGAAGCAACAAAUGCCCUGCUUCCAGGAAAAGCCUCUAAGCAUCAGGUAACAUCAAAUCGUACCCCAAACCGACACAGGUGGUCAGGUAGAGAAUACCAAGGCGCUUGAGAGAACUCGGGUGAAGGAACUAGGCAAAAUGGUGCCGUAACUUCGGGAGAAGGCACGCUGAUAUGUAGGUGAAGUCCCUCGCGGAUGGAGCUGAAAUCAGUCGAAGAUACCAGCUGGCUGCAACUGUUUAUUAAAAACACAGCACUGUGCAAACACGAAAGUGGACGUAUACGGUGUGACGCCUGCCCGGUGCCGGAAGGUUAAUUGAUGGGGUUAGCGCAAGCGAAGCUCUUGAUCGAAGCCCCGGUAAACGGCGGCCGUAACUAUAACGGUCCUAAGGUAGCGAAAUUCCUUGUCGGGUAAGUUCCGACCUGCACGAAUGGCGUAAUGAUGGCCAGGCUGUCUCCACCCGAGACUCAGUGAAAUUGAACUCGCUGUGAAGAUGCAGUGUACCCGCGGCAAGACGGAAAGACCCCGUGAACCUUUACUAUAGCUUGACACUGAACAUUGAGCCUUGAUGUGUAGGAUAGGUGGGAGGCUU